UCUAUCUCUCCUGAUGUUGUUGUUGCGAAUGAUCUACACUUUGUGGAUGAGCUCCCUUUCAGUGCAUGUUAACCUGGGAAGGCUGUUUCUAGUACCUGAGCUUGAUCACAGAGAGUUCUCAGCUAUUUCUCUGCACAGAACUGCUGUGCCUCAGCCGUGACUCCACACCCGUCUCUGCAGCAUCUUUCAGAACAGCCCAAUGGUUGUCUUCAUCUUCCUUCAAAAAAUCUUCUGAGACUUCACUUCAAAGACUCACGUACGUGGCAGAUUCAAUGACAGGUUCUCUGCUUUCAUGCCACAGCUUCUGAUUUUGCUCAGCAAUUCCCUAGCUUCUACGAGGCCAGCAGUGAGUGUGGAGCAAUCUUUGUCAGUGAUGGUGUGUGCAGUGUGUGACUGCACAGGAACCGACUCCUCAGGCUUCCUGAAGGAACUGGAAUUAAAUUAGACUCUUCUCAGCCGGACCAGUUCUUUCACCCGGACCAGUUCUUUCACCCAGUUCAAGAUACAACUAUGGGCACAUCACAGAAAAAGUUGUAUGGAUGUGGAGACAAACAGCAGAAGUCAGGAUGCCUCACAUUGGCUGUCACGGCUGACAAAAUGU
rnacentral:lncRNA from 1 species